GGUUCACGGUGGUGGCGAGUUGGGCAACUUGCUGCUUUAAGUUUUCCAAAAGCAAUAGGCCAUGUAGCUGAGCCGCUGAAACAUUGUGAAAGUUGAAAAAAAGUGUUAAACUGGAGGGAAGACUCAGGUUAUUUUAAACAGAAUUGGUCCUGUUUCAUGGCCAACUCUGAAGGUUGGCUUGAAGAGGAGGUGACCUCCAGGCUCUCCACCAACGCUAGCUAAUUGAGAAAAGGUUCUGCAACAUCAUCUGUAUCUGGGACAUAACCAAUAUCUCUGGAAGGAAGUGUGGCUGCAGGUGUUUCCUGGCCGAUAUCAAUUAACCUUCUAUUAAGGUCCACCCUGGCUCUCCUCCUCAAAGCUGAACUGGAAACAGUUUGCAUCAUGUUUUCAGCAUCUGUAAAAAGAAAUGGAAAGUAUGUUAUAAGCUUGAUGGGUCAGAAGAGAUGGAUCGAGAUGAGGAGCCAUGCUCUACAUGUAAGCCCUCCUGUGAUGCCCAAACAUAGUGGUCAGACCCAAAGAUGGAGGACUACACCUAUUCAAAAGGGCCAACCAUCACCUGCAGAGCGAGCACUACACAAUCCCCAUAAUUAUCAUGCCCUGUUGCAGUAUUUUGAAGAGUUAUGCAGACUCUCUCUUGUAUACAGGGAUUCCACUCAUUGCAUUUCACACCCUUGUUACCUGCCUACAACCAUUUGAUCCUACUUCUUUAUCCAUGCCUGCUGUGGACCAAAUCCUAAUGACCUUAAUGAAACUAAGCCUUCCUUGUGCCUGCAUUCCACUUCCUCUGCACAUGAUAUCCCUGUCUUUCCCUGUCUGACUGCAUUCUCAACCAUUAGAAAAUGUUUUGAGGUUCCUGUUGUUAUUAUUUUGUCUCUGUGAAUAUGAGUAUGAAUAUGAACAGAAAAUGAGUUCUCCAAUGGUCUUCAGAGACUUUAACUAUUGUUUUAUUUUAAAGCUACAAAUGUGUGUGUUUUACAUGUAAAUGUUUUGCUGGAGAAACGUGCUUGUGCAUCUGACUUUAAAAUAAAGUUUAACCUGAAAAACUAAAACCCAGGCCUGGUGAUGUGGAACUUUAAGGCUCUAACUGGAAAACACUAGUUCCAGUUCAGUGACAGUACGCGCCGGAAGUCGCGCCUAUAAUUCGCGCAAAGUGUCAUCAUGGGGUGAAGGGUAGCAUCACAAAAUGUUGCUGUAUAGUUUUUAAACACUGAUAAUAUUGCUCAGCUUAAUGACAAUGCAUUUAUCUCAUGCUCUAGAUAGAAAAAAAAUGUAAAAAUGAAAAUGUUUAUUCCACGGAGUUCUUCCAUAGUUUGAGAAAAGUAUUUCGGAUGUGGUCCACAUCAGGUAGUCUCUGUCAAAACAGUGUUGGCUCAAAUCCGUUUUACAGAUUUGGGCCAGAGCAGUUUUUAGCCCUUUUUAAAUGCAGUCGGCUCAGAUAUGUAUCACAGAUUUGGGCCAUACCAGUGUAGCCUAUGUGAAAACAGUAUCGGCUCAGAUUCAUAUUGCAGAUCUGGAUCAAAUCAGUGUCAGACACAGCUAAUGUCUUUCGGUUACCUAUGGGAAAAGUGAUCUGGGCCAGAUCUGUAAAAUGAUAUAAAUACUGAACUGAUGGCAGUUAAGCUGAAACCUCUAUCUGGCACUGAUCUGGUUCAGAAUCAGAAAACGUCGCUAAGAUAGAAACGGAGGCAAGGUGCUUAAAACGGAUCCGUGCCAAAUGUAAUUGCUAU